AGUUACCAGGGUGGGUUCUUUUGGGAGGUACUGAGAGUACAAUGGACUGCUUUAUAUACCCCGCCCCUUAAUUCAUAUAUCGAUGCUCUAAUACCCAGAUUGACGAUAGGUGGGUAGAGGGUCUUUAGAUGGUAAUACAGAUUAAAAAGAAGAUCAUCAGAGUGCAGCCCCAAUCCUGUAGAACUGGUGGCCUUAUAAGAAGAGGAAGUGAGAGAGAUUUUAUAUUUCUUACCAUCUACAACUCUGAGAAAAAAUUCUGUUGCUUAAGCCAUCCAUUCAAUGGUAUUGUGUUAUGGAAGCCCAAGCAGACUAAUACAGUGAGGUUCUGUUUCUAGCUUUUCUUCUGGCUUUGGCACUUGCUGACUAUCAUUGGUGAUGGUGUUUUUGUAGAUGCAUCAUUCUGCUCUCUACCUUUAUGAUCAUGAGGUCUGUUUCUGUAUCUUUUCUUCAGACAAGGUACAGUCAUUGAGUUAGGGUUCAUUCUAAUUGUGUGACCUCACCUCAACUUGAUUAUCUCUGCAAAGACCCUAUGUUCAAAUAAAGUCACAUUCACAGAUACUGAAUGUUAGGAUGUACACGUAUAUUUUUUGGAAAACACAGUUAACCUGCAACAGAGAUCCUGUUUCAAGAGCACAUGCAUUUCUCUUACUGAGAAAUUUCUCUUAUCUACCAAGGGCCCCUGAAUAUGUUGAAAUACAAAGCCUAAUGUGCUCUAAUCCUGAGCUGCAAUUAAGGCAACCGCAAUGCCAUGACUAUCAUGACUGCUCUCAAUGGAGGGGGGACUGGCUUGUUCAGUGCUUGUUGUAAAAGCUGCUGAGCCCUUAGUCCUUAGUUUCUCAACUGUGGGGCAACCUAUUGCAAGUGAGGCUACGAUCUAGGACUUGUCAUGACUGUGGGAGUUGGGGCCAAGGGAAAUGGUGCUAUUAAUGAUGAUCCUACUACUUGUCUGCUGUGCUGAGUUGCAAGCAGUCUUUCUUUGAUUCUCUGUCCUAUUGUCCGCUUUUGACGAUAGUGGAAUUUUGGCAAACCAACCUGCUUGUGGGCUUUGCCAUCUCCUUUGUAAUCUUGUUACUCCUUGCCAUUCAUUCCUUUUGCAUUCUGAGCCUUGACAUAUAACAUUUCUCCAUCUAGGAUGCCCUCUCCUAGGGCUUCACGCAUGUGUGAUCACAUAGAAUCCUGACCUUAGAAGGGCCCCACACUUGGGUUAAUGCUCUCCUCUUCCUGAGUUCUUGCUUUUAAAAUAAAGGGCUCAGCAUUCUUAACUUUAUGCUGGGUCCCAUCAAUUAUGUACCUGGUCCUACUUUCUCUUUAGUCAGGUUAUGUAUUUUCAGGGUUUAGCUUAGAAGUAGUACUUGUUUGCCUCUCUUCCUCUUCCCACCACUCCUGAUGUUUGAUCUUGUUCUAGUUGCUAGACAGAUUUGCUGCUCUUCUAUGGAAAAUGGUAUUCAUUUUAAUUCUGAAGGCCUUAGUUGACAAAAAAUCCAAAGGUAAAAUAAAUCCACUUGCUUAUGAGGUAUAUGUAUGUUUUGACUUCCAUAUUAAGAAAUCAACACUGUGACCUCAGGCACCUCUCAACACCUGACUUCAUACUCAGGUGAGGAAGGGCUCUUGCUAAGGUGCCAAGGCUGAGUACCCAGGAUGGAUCAAUUUUUCACUUUAUUCACUGGCAGAAACUUUCUACUUAGAACAAUGAUAGGGUUAUGCAUUUCCUAUAUCUGUACUUCUAUAAUUUAUCAUUUUGAUAUACAUAUUUCUUAGCAUUUUUAGUUGUGUUUGUGGCUAUUGUUUUUCUUUUCUACCCCAAUCUACCACCUUCUGUUCACCCCACUAUAAGCACUGUGAAAACACUUAUCUUUUACACUAGGGUCUGCCCACCAUGACUUGGGAGGUGUCUUGGGUGAUUUGAUUGCUUAAACUUAAUUUUACUAAGCUUGUCCUGAGGACCAGCAUCCAACUUUGGCACCCAGGCAGAGACAUCUGGUCCACAGAUCUUCUGGUAUUAGAGAGCAGAAGAAUGAGGCAGCUGUACACUGCUUAUAAAACUGUAACCACCACUGACAUAAUGAGAGGAAAAAACUGACACUUGGCAAAAUUUAAAGGGCCUGACAAGGGGAAAAAUAAAAUUUUAAUAAACCAGCUGGAUUGGAAGACAUGAUUAUAGAAGUCCUGAUAAAUAUUCUUGUUAACUUUGCCUUAACUAACAUGAUUUUACUUAAAACAUGGCAUUGUGAAGUGAGGUAAGCUGUUCCCAGCAUCACCAUUUUCUGCAGAGAUACAAUGGGAAACCUCUAGCAUUAUAAAUUUACUUCAAAAUAAUGAAAGCAUUUGGAGAAAGAGAUCACCCACACUUUUUCUUUUAGGAAAUUUUCCUCGUGGAGCACUUGAUAAACUUUUUAUCGAGUGACUCAGUAAUCUAUGGAAACUUAUAAAGAGGGUAUUUUUAGUUGUAAACUUUAUACAAAGGUAUUCCAAGCCUGGUAUACUUAAUACCAGUUUCUAUUGGCAUUUUAUGCACAUAUAUAUCUUCUAAUGUUCUUAGCAUUUUACUUUCAAAAUUUUCUAGCAGGUGCCAAUUUGACUUUCUUUUUUUUUUCUUUUCUUUUCUUUUUCUGUUUUAGUAACACUGGGUUUCCAUUUUAAAUAGGACCAACUAGAAAGAGGGAACUGGAAAUUUUAGCAGUUGGGAACCUCUAUGCGAAAAGCAUCACAUGCUUUCUGUCUAGCACUUUUGUUCCAUGAGAACAUUAUUACCUUUCCUUUCUCACUUCACUUCCACCUCCCUGUGUCCUAAUUAGGCUGGUGAACAAGUUGGUAAGGCUUUUCACUAUAUUCUUUCUAGGGGAAUAGAAUGCUCCCCAUGCAUGACAAAGUGACGAACUUGAUACACCAGUUGUACCUUUUCAGUGUAGGAGGUGUAGAAUUUCUGUUGAUGUAAAUUUUCAUCUUUUGGAGAUUCAGCGUUUGGAUAACCUGAAUUCGUUUCUGUUGAAUGUGACAUUUAGAGUCAGUACUAUACCUGUUGCAGCUUCUUAAGUAACCUAGCUUAUUUGUUACCUUUUACUUCGACACACAAACAGAAUAAAUUUGGCAUCAUUAAAGUCACUUUUGGAGUAACAAACACCAAAUGGGAUUCUUGGAAUCAUCCAAAGUAGCCAUGAAAACAAGAAUUUAUUAGUUAUUUCACCAUGAACUAAGUAUGGCUAGUUUUGGCCUUGAGGAAAUCAGAAUAUGAGAAUGUAAACAUUCCAUAGUAAUCAGAGUGUGACCCAUCAUAUUUGGACAACCAACACCCAUUUGUCCCUUUUGCCAAAACAUGGUUGUUAGAAGAGAGGUAUUACAGAAACACCUUGUGAGCAUUUGGCCAGCUACCCACUCUUGUGGCCUGAGAAGAUUUUGUAAGUUUAAGAAAAUGCUAAUAAGUAAAAAUGAAGCAUGACUAAAUGAUAGCUCUUGGAUGGAUUCGAGAUCCCACAUAGCUCAGCUCAUCUCUCUGUAUCCAGAUCACACCUGAAAGCUUGGGGUUGGGAGAGGCCACUUAGUUUUGUGUUUUGGUACCUAAUAGUGGCUAUAAGAGGCUUUUUUCUUUUAUCAAAUUGCAUUUCCAAGAGUUAUGCAUG
rnacentral:lncRNA from 1 species